rnacentral:rRNA from 1 species
AGGACGAACGCUGGCGGCGUGCUUAACACAUGCAAGUCGAACGAGGUGCUUGCACCUAGUGGCGAACGGGUGAGUAACACGUGAGCAACCUGCCCUUGGCUCUGGGAUAGCCUCCGGAAACGGGGAUUAAUACCGGACAUGACCUGCUCCUGCAUGGGGGCGGGUGGAAAGUUUUUCGGCCAGGGAGGGGCUCGCGGCCUAUCAGCUUGUUGGGGGGGUAACGGCCCACCAAGGCGACGACGGGUAG